AUUGAAACACCGGUUCCCAUAUGAUCACUGAAGUUAAGCAACAUAGAGUCUGGUCAGAUGGGUGACCACUUGGGAAUACCAG